GUUCUGAUACACAAAUGGUGGAAUUGGAAGACAUCUAGUGUUACUUAACUCAGUUGUGUUUAUUGUAUUUAAAGUAUAUCCCACAUAUAAUGUGGAUAAUUCACAAAAACUGAGCAUGUCAGAAAACAGCUAUGGCAGUUCGUGAAGUUAAAGUGUGUUUACUGGGGGUAAGAUUUAUUUAGGACGGUUAUGUCAGUCAUAACAACCGCAAAGAGAAAGUAGACUUGUUGAGUGUCUAUCUAUACAUUUUUAACGAUAAUACGUCAAGAUAGUUUAGUAGGGUAACUUUAUGUUUUACUGUAAUGAAAAAGAAUUGAAAUGUACAGUAUAAGCAUGAUAAGUGCGAAAUCCGAAAGAGGAACGAAUUUUUCAAGUACUUAUGAUUUAUUAAUGCAUCUCCUAAUAAGGUAGUCACUGAGGUAUCUAAGGUUAAUGCGAUAUCACCAUUUUCUUCUGUCGUGAAGAAAUCUGUACAUCUGAUUACAACAAGAAUAGAAAUUGUUGUGCUGUUGGACUAUAUUUCAGUAGACAUGGGUCUAUUUUAAAUUGCAUGGCAUGAUGCUUUUUAUUUAUGAGCCCAGUAUAUAUUGAUGUAUGACGUUGACUGUUUUUUUUUGUGUGUAUAGGAAUCUGGAGUGGGGAAGUCCAGCAUUGUCCUGAGAUUUGUCAGCGACUCGUUCAAAGGAGCAUUAGAAAGCACCAUAGGUGCCUCUUUCAUGACAAAGAGAUUAGAAGUUGGGGAUGUGUCCUAUCAGUUUCAGAUCUGGGACACAGCGGGUCAGGAAAAGUAUAGAUCUCUGGCACCUAUGUACUACAGAGGGGCAUCAGCGGCCAUUAUUGUGUACGACAUCACAAGGGAGGCCACUUAUAGAACAGUAAAGGACUGGGUCAGAGAGUUGAAACGAAACUGCACAGCAGACAUGGUGAUAGCUAUCGCAGGAAACAAGAGUGACCUUAAUGACCUUCGUGAGGUCAGGGCACGAGGUAAGAACAUAAAGAAAAACUCCAAUCUUGGUUCGAUAUUCCAGUUUAAUAUAUGUAUUUUACGCAAAAAUUAGUAACUGAAACAACAUUUAACAAUAGGGGAUAAUGGUUUGAUGUUAGGAAAAAUAAAAGCUAGUAGGUAUGCCAUAGACCUGACUCUACCACAUUUACAUUGUAAAAGUAAUGUACAUGUAGUUUUAAUUUUACUUAAACUUCAACAAGUUUGACCUCUUUUUUGAAAGAGGAUGCAAUUGCGUACACAUCUAAAUAGUAAAUUUUGAUGCUUCAGAUGCCGAGGAGUAUGCCCAGUCCAUUGGGGCUUUGUUCAUUGAGACAAGUGCUCUCUCAGCAGUCAAUGUGCCACACCUGUUUACUGCAAUAGGUAAAUCUGUCUUCAUUUCUCAAUAGAAUGAAAGCAAGCGUAUAAAACCAUGUGUCACUUUCAGUAAAUGUUAUUGCUGUUCAGGUAAAUUGUGUAACAUUAACAGUGCUGUAGAUUGGAUCUUUCUUGUCUUUGGUUUACAGCUGAGGGGCUUCCCCCUGAGGACCCAGUGUCUUUCCGUCCUGGGAGCACUGUACAAUUACGCCGCCAGGACGAAAGUGCCCAGCCAAAGUCCUCUUGUUGUGGAUCAAAGAAGUCAAGAUGACCAAAAGCGUGAUAGCUAGAGAAUUCUUGAUAAACUUAUACUCUGUUUUCUCUGAAACACAAAUUUUGCUGUGUUUAUUUUAGAGAUGUGAUAUGCUUUUGUUUUAAAUGAUCAUUUUUACGAAACUGUUGACACGUGACAAUCAAGGUGCUUUGUUCAACCGUGUUUACAGUUUAUAAAUCUAUGACUGGAACAUUCAGGGUGCAUACUCAAACACUUGUAGAUGUAAAUGUAUCAGAACAGCUGUUGGACGUUUAUUCUGAUCUUUCUACAUGGCAAGAAAACAUUCUGUAGUGCUUUUAUUAGAUUAGUUACUAAUGCUGUUACACUUGUGCAUUAAUUGCUUUUAUCAAUUAAUUAUCUGGGCAUAAAGAAACAGCCAUUAUUAGUUUAUUUAGAAAUACUGUACACCCUGUUUCAUUUACAACAACUUUAUUUCACAAUUUAUGUGUGGAAAUUUCUAUAUUAUAAUGUAAAUUUUAAUGUUAAAUAUCUGAAACAAAUUAAUUCAUAAACAGAGUGCAUGGUAUUCAAAAUAUUUUCUCAUAGUGAGUAAAGGUGGGUUACAGUAAGCUUCACAUGUACUCACAAAAUGUUUUUCAUAAAAUAAUUUUAGCCUAAGUUUUGUACAUACUGGUAUACAGUAAAAGCAUACUUUUAAUGUGUUAUAGUUCUACUAUAUCACUCAUAAACCAAUAUGUAUUUUUAAUGAUUAUUGCUUACCGGUAUAUUUUAAAAAGAUGAUUUUAGUUAGAACAUAUCAGUAUUUACAAUUUCCAUAUUAAAGUUUUAAAUUUUCUACCUGGUACAUCAAAUUUUACUGGUUUUAAAUAAGUUUUUAUUUUUCUAUACUCUUUGGUAUUAUGUAGAAAACCUUAGAAUAUGUAACAAACUAAUAUGAUUUAUUAUAUGUGAAAUUAAGUCCCACAUGUUUUUAUUUUUUGAUAAUCAAGACAUUCCAUGAACAGAAAAUAGAGUGAUUUUUAUAUCUGUAUUCUUUUACGGUUUUAUAACAAACAAUUGAGAAUAAACACAUGUGAAAAUAUCUU
rnacentral:misc_RNA from 1 species